UGUAAACAAAUCUAAUGUAUAUAUGUUUAUUUCUUUAAUAGGCCAAUUGCCAACAUGACAAAUACAUCAUACAUACUUUCAAAAGCGCAUUGCCAACAUUUGCCUUCCCCUUCCCCCCACCCA